rnacentral:rRNA from 1 species
UAAAUGAGGACAAACCUGUCUCUUAUAACCAAUCAGUGAAACUGAUCUCCCAAUACAAAAGUUGGGAUGAAUACAUAAGACGAGAAGACCCCGUGGAGCUUAAAACAAACCACUAACCAAACGACCAUAGUGCACUGUUUUAAGUUGGGGCGACUUCGGAACAAAACAAAACUUCCGAGCACAGAAUCACCACUUCUAACCAAGGCCAACAAGCCUAAGUUUAACCUGACCCGGCCUCACGCCGAUCAACGAACCAAGUUACCCCGGGGAUAACAGCGCUAUCUUCUUCAAGAGUCCCUAUCAACAAGAAGGUUUACGACCUCGAUGUUGGAUCAGGACACCCAAAUGGUGCAGCCGCUAUUAAUGGUUCGUUUGUUCAACGAUUAACAGUCCU